rnacentral:rRNA from 1 species
GGAUUCCCCUAGUAACUGCGAGUGAAGCGGGAAAAGCUCAAAUUUAAAAUCUGACAGUCUUUGGCUGUCCGAGUUGUAAUCUGGAGAAGCGUCUUCCGCGCUGGACCGUGUACAAGUCUCCUGGAACGGAGCGUCAUAGAGGGUGAGAAUCCCGUCUUUGACACGGACUACCAGUGCUUUGUGAUGCGCUCUCAAAGAGUCGAGUUGUUUGGGAAUGCAGCUCAAAAUGGGUGGUAAACUCCAUCUAAAGCUAAAUAUUGGCGAGAGACCGAUAGCGAACAAGUACCGUGAGGGAAAGAUGAAAAGCACUUUGGAAAGAGAGUUAAACAGUACGUGAAAUUGCUGAAAGGGAAACGCUUGAAGUCAGUCGCGUUUGCUAGGACUCAGCCUUGCUUCGGCUUGGUGCACUUCCUAGUAAACGGGCCAGCAUCACUUUUGGCUGCGGGAAAAAGGUCAGAGGAAUGUGGCACCUUCGGGUGUGUUAUAGCCUCUGGCUGUAUACCGUGGCUGGGAGUGAGGAUCUCAGCACGCCUCACGGCGGGGCUUCGGCCACCUUCGUGCUUAGGAUGCUGGCGUAAUGGCUUUAAACGACCCGUCUUGAAACACGGACCAAGGAGUCUAACAUGCCUGCGAGUGUUUGGGUGGAAAACCCGAGCGCGUAAUGAAAGUGAAAGUUGGGACCUCUGUCGUGGAGGGCACCGACGCCCGGACCAGAACUUCGGGGACGGAUCUGCGGUAGAGCAUGUAUGUUGGGACCCGAAAGAUGGUGAACUAUGCCUGAAUAGGGUGAAGCCAGAGGAAACUCUGGUGGAGGCUCGUAGCGAUUCUGACGUGCAAAUCGAUCGUCAAAUUUGGGUAUAGGGGCGAAAGACUAAUCGAACCAUCUAGUAGCUGGUUCCUGCC